rnacentral:pre_miRNA from 1 species
GUGUAGGGCAAUCUGUCCUUAAGUAGGGAUAAAUUACUCUUAAAAAAACAUGAAUCCUAGAUAGUUUUCCCUUCCAGUCAGGUGUCUUGU